rnacentral:lncRNA from 1 species
CGCACUUGCCCAAGUAUUACGAUAUAUGUAUUGUCGUGAAGUCCAUCUGAUGGUUCGAUCUCGAUAGUGGCCGAGAUAUAUAUAUAUUACUCUUCCGCACUUGCCCAAGUAUUACCAUAUAUAUGUAUUGUCGUGAAGUCCAUCUGAUGGUUCGAUCUCGAUAGUGGCCUAGAUAAUCGUCGCCAUUACACCUAGUGGGUACGGCUAUGGCUUGGUCAACCCCUUGCCAUUCCUUUUAAUGAUAACCUACUUGAGAUCAGAUUUUGACCCAUACAACUAGCUACUUGCUGCCUAGGGGUAAGAGAACCAAACAGUUGAGAAGGAAUCCUAUUUAUCUAAAACGGAGAAGAACUAAUUAAUUGAGGAUGGGAAAAAAACAUUGAGGAGAACGCGAUGGUAAUUGAAGAUGUGAAAUGAAAUUAUAAUCAUGUGAAAGAAGGUACUUUGAGGAGGUACUUAUCUAAGAAGGAACCCAAGCAAAAUAACCAUGAAGGUUUGAAACAGGAAAAAAAAACAAGGAGCAAGAGAAAAACGAUUGAGAAACCAAGGGAAUAGAUAGCUUAAAAAUUAGGUUAUGUGCGAGUAAAUUUUGAAGGAAAAGGUAGAGUAAUUCUUUUGUGACAAUUAAGAGGUGUUAUAAAUGGUAUAAAUAGGAUUCUUAUUCUUG